rnacentral:rRNA from 1 species
UGGGGAAUUUUGCACAAUGGGGGAAACCCUGAUGCAGCGACGCCGCGUGAUUUAGAAGGCCUUCGGGUUGUAAAAAUCUUUUCUAUGGGAAGAAAAUGACAGUACCAUAGGAAUAAGGACCGGCUAAUUACGUGCCAGCAGCCGCGGUAAUACGUAAGGUCCGAGCGUUGUCCGGAAUCAUUGGGCGUAAAGGGUACGUAGGCGGGUAAGCAAGUUAGAAGUGAAAUCCUGUAGCUCAACUACAGUAAGCUUUUAAAACUGCUCAUCUUGAGAUAUGGAAGGGAAAGUGGAAUUCCUAGUGUAGCGGUGAAAUGCGCAGAUAUUAGGAGGAAUACCGGUGGCGAAGGCGACUUUCUGGACAUAAUCUGACGCUGAGGUACGAAAGCGUGGGUAGCAAACAGG